AUGGCAUCGCUCAUUAUUGGACCUUGUUGGUGUAAUCUAAGGACCCCUUUUGUUCCACUGUCUUGCCAAGGUAGAAGACCAUCCAUCUCUAACUCCAAUCAUGAAGAAAAGAAAGACAUGGGAAGAGGAGGAAAAGGGAAGAGCCCAUUGUUGAAAUGGAAAGUAAUUUUGAAAGAUUUUGAGAAGGUGAUUGGGAAGAGGCCACAGAAGAUGAAGAAUUUAAGUCCACAACAACAAAAGGGUGAUUGGAAAGAUUUGUUUCUAAUGAGUAUUUCUUUUGCUGUUUAUGUGUAUAUAUCUCAGAAGCUAGUUUGUGCUUAUUGUGCUUGGACUUCUAUGCCUAAAGUAAACGUGUGGUAG